GUUUAGCUAGUUAUUUGAGGUGACAAGUGUUAAAAAAUCAAAUACUGUAAAAUUAAAGUGUAAAAAGUGAAAAUAUAAAUAAUAAUUCAAUAAAAACAUUUUAAAUAUGAAGGGUGGAAGUAGAAGAAAUUUAAAAAGAUUAAUAAAAAAUAGAAGGCUAUUUACGUCAAAAAAUUAAAUAGGAAUAAAAAACAAAAAGAAAGUUUAUUAACAAUAAAAUAAAGGAAGCAAAUCGCGCUGUUUAUAUCCGUUGUAUUUCCUCUUUAAUUAAAGGAAAAUUACACAAAUCGUUGACUGAAAUUUUUUCUGUAGAUGUAAUUAUUGAUUGCAAUAUAGAUGGUAUACACGGAAAACAUUCGCUGAAAAGCUUUAAACAACUUUUUGGAGCUUUAAUAGAUGCAGUUCGGGAUAAUGGAGAAGAAAACCCAAAUAAGGCAAUUAGAAAUGCGCAGAAAAUAAUAAAAAGCGACAUUUUCAAGCCGUCUGCGUUAGCAAAAAAAAAAAGAAAACCCACCAAAUUAAUAUUCAAAAAUAAGAUUAAAAUUAAACAAUGAUAUAAGUAGAAUACGAAUAUUAAUAUUUUUUAUAAUGUAAAUAAUUUUAAUAAUAAUUGAAUAUUUUGGUACCUUCACAAUUUAAUAAAUAUAACACAAAAUAGAAGAUCAUUAAAGUAAA